UUAUAUAAUAUUAAUGAAAUAAUAUAUUUUAUAAGUAUUAAUAUAAUAACUAUUGUAAUAGGCCCAAUUUGCCCAAGCCCAAAAACACAAACAAAAAAUAAACCAAAUAAAAAAAACAAAUAAACAAAUAAAAAAACAACAAUAGUAGUCCAUUUUUAAAUGUCCAAAUUACAAACCCAAAAUCUAACCCAACCCUCUAAACCCAAUUAGCCUAAGCCCAAUACCAUAACCCAAUACAAUAAGCCCGAUUUUUAAAUACCAAGGCCCAAAAUACCAAAAC
rnacentral:lncRNA from 1 species